GAUGAACGCUGGCGGCGUGCCUAAUACAUGCAAGUCGAGCGAACGGACGAGAAGCUUGCUUCUAUGAUGUUAGCGGCGGACGGGUGAGUAACACGUGGAUAACCUACCUAUAAGACUGGGAUAACUUCGGGAAACCGGAGCUAAUACCGGAUAAUAUUUUGAACCGCAUGGUUCAAAAGUGAAAGACGGUCUUGCUGUCACUUAUAGAUGGAUCCGCGCUGCAUUAGCUAGUUGGUAAGGUAACGGCUUACCAAGGCAACGAUGCAUAGCCGACCUGAGAGGGUGAUCGGCCACACUGGAACUGAGACACGGUCCAGACUCCUACGGGAGGCAGCAGUAGGGAAUCUUCCGCAAUGGGCGAAAGCCUGACGGAGCAACGCCGCGUGAGUGAUGAAGGUCUUCGGAUCGUAAAACUCUGUUAUUAGGGAAGAACAUAUGUGUAAGUAACUGUGCACAUCUUGACGGUACCUAAUCAGAAAGCCACGGCUAACUACGUG
rnacentral:rRNA from 1 species